rnacentral:rRNA from 1 species
AACGAACGCUGGCGGCAUGCCUAACACAUGCAAGUCGAACGAGACCUUCGGGUCUAGUGGCGCACGGGUGCGUAACGCGUGGGAACCUGCCUUUAGGUUCGGAAUAACUCAGAGAAAUUUGAGCUAAUACCGGAUGAUUUCUUCGGACCAAAGAUUUAUCGCCUUUAGAUGGGCCCGCGUUGGUUUAGCUAGUUGGUGGGGUAAAGGCCUACCAAGGCGACGAUCCAUAGCUGGUCUGAGAGGAUGAUCAGCCACACUGGGACUGAGACACGGCCCAGACUCCUACGGGAGGCAGCAGUGGGGAAUAUUGGACAAUGGGCGAAAGCCUGAUCCAGCAAGGCCGCGUGAGUGAUGAAGGCCUUAGGGUUGUAAAGCUCUUUUACCCGAGAUGAUAAUGACAGUAUCGGGAGAAUAAGCACCGGCUAACUCCGUG